AAAAAAACUGGUAAAUGGUCAGACCCAUUAUCUUUCUCUCCCAUCAUUUAUUAUCCAUCCAACCAAUCAUAAUAGCUGUCACUACCAUCUCUUUUAUUUUCCAACCACUCGUAUUUAUCUCACUACUGUCUCUCUCACUAUCUGGUGCUACCAUCUGAAAUUCUCCAGACCGUCGGUGCUGUCGUCUCUACAAACCGUCGGUGUUGCCGUCUGAAAUUAUCCAAACCGCCGGUGCUACCAUCUAAAAUUCUCUAAAUCCACGGUAUGGGUAUUUGGAAUUUCUCCAAAUCUACGGUGCGGGUCUCUAGCCAUGUUAACCUCUUAAACAUAGCUUAAGGAAACAUCCUAUUAGUAAUUUACCUAAUUCGUAAAAUGUGUAGCUAUUGACCUAUGUAUGCAUUAAAUCAACGUAUCUAUCUUUCAUCUUUGGAGUGUUUUAUAUUCUAGUAUUGUCAAGAUUUCAACUUUUCUCCAUCUUCCGUGUGCACAUUUUCUUGUUCAAUUGCACUUACUCUCUAUUUUAUGGAGUUCGAAUCUGACUUUAGGCCUGUUGAAUUGCACUGUAUGCUAAAGUUUGCUCUAGGGCAGGAAGGAACAGAGGUAUAUGCCAUAGUUGCAAACAGCCGAAUCACUCGUUGGAAUGUUCCAGAAAGAGAAGAUGCCCAAAAUGUGGUGAGGGGUUUGUGAAGUGGAUGGAGGUGGAAAAAAAUAGUGCAAACGAAGGAUGGAUGAUCCAUUGUUGUACUUGUUACUGUAGGCAUUUCAAGUGGUGUGAUGUUUCGCCAUAUGACAACGAGUUAGUGCAUUACGAAGGUGAAUUAAGUUCAACGAUCCAACUAUUGACAUGUCAAUUGUGUUCCAAAAAUGUGCUAAUAUAGCCGACGAAAAUUACUAUUUGGAGAUUUCCCUCAACAUAACUCAAGGAAAACGAGAUCUGGAUGACGACGAGAAAGCGAAAAAAAAGGGUGUAAAUUAAAUGGUGGAUUGUUGAUGUAAUGUGAUGAUAUUACAUUAGAUGUGGUGUUGAAUUUGGAUGUAAUCGAAUUGUCGUAACGUUUGUUGUCUCGUAGUCUGUAUUCACUUGUUGAAUUAGGGGGAAAAAACUAUGUACUCAAGGAAGCUUACUAUUUUUGCGCAAUUUUUAUCGAAUGAAUUGUGAUUGUUCUGUGUUUGCGGCAUUCCCUAUCUAGAACAGAACCAGUUACUAAAUUAGUUGAUUUUGU
rnacentral:lncRNA from 1 species